AUGCUACURUGUGAGCAUUUUCUCAGUAGCCCUUUGUACCUUUCCCAUGCAUCAUGAACUGCUUCAUCAUCCAUUUGUUCAAAAGUGCAAAUUUCAUUUCUGGAUU